CCUGCUCAGUUGCUGCGAUCCCGAGUGGCGGCUUUGGGCGCCGAGCGGGCGUCGGGCCGCUGCUUACCGGGUGGCAGCCGGAAGGUGUUUCAUUCCCCGCCGCAUUACGGUGAGCCGCGCUCCUGCACCCCAGCGGCGCGUGGCCGGGGACACGGUGGCUGGCUGGCGCCGCCCCGGAGCCCGAUGGGCUCGGAGCAGCGCGCGGUGCCGAGAGAGGCGGCUCGUGCUGCCUGCAUGCCCGUGCUGAGCAAGAGCCGCGUGCUGAGCUGGUAGCCAGGCUCAGCCAUCGGUCAGCCGUGAGGUGACCUUAGAUCCACGAUAAACUGCGGAACAGAGUCUGUUAGUUAUUUAGGUUGCCUAUCAGCAAGGAAUGGAUUUCCAUGGACAAACAAGUUUGAAGACCUGAAUUCGGUUCCAGUGCUGCCGUUCAAAGGGUAACAUUAUAACCUAAAUUUGGUCUCAGAAAAAUUCUCAACACGGCAACCCAGAAAAUCAGCAGCGAUCUCUGAAACUGGUGUGCACCACAGACACCCAUCAGCCGACAAUAUCUGCUCUAGGACCGUUCACGUCCUUGAGUCCUUCUCCUAGGUGCUUCCUGAUUUGAUAAGUCACUCCGAAGCUCUAGAAAUGGAGAUUGAAUAAACGUGUGGAGGACCAUGUAGGCCAGAGACUAACAGGAAGCCAUAUAGGGUCUCAGUGAAGAGCAUCCGUGCUGUGGGUGGCGCAUUCACAUCUUCGGUGUACAGUGAAACAAAGAAGAUCCUUUUAAAGAAAUACCUUAUUAGUUUCAUCAUCCUUCAAAAGGCGAUAUUAUUUUUGAAUUCUUGAACAUUAUUGUGUGCACUCAGAUAUCAUACCAUACAAAGAAGCAGAUGGUGAGGCAGUAAUUGUACAGAAGUGGCAACUGGUUUCCUGAUCUAGGAGAGCCAUUAUGGUGCCUUUCAUCUCUGAAAUACUUGAGCUAAGCAUGCUUGUUUUGGGACCUUUCUGCAUUAUUAGUGGUGUGUCCUAAUGCAUGCUACUUAAAAUCUUAGUGCCAGUUCCCUCAUCUCUACGGAUAUCACAGAACCUUAAGGGUUGUUGGGAUGAUCAAACAUCAUGACACAUAUGCAGAGGACCACAGCUGAGUAAAUUCGCGUGCUAAUCUAUUAUUAGCUAUUGUAGUUGUGAGAUAAUGCUGGCAUUGAGGAUGCUUAAAAUGUGUUGCUGAGUGCAAUAGUCCAUUUCUCAGCUACUGUGUGUAUCCCAUAGUCACAACCAUCAGGACACCCUAUGAAAAGCAGGCGUUACCUGUCAAACUCCAGCCAGGUCUCCAGGAUGGGAGAUCCACUGCUCCUGUGGAUCUGUCUUCUGAAUUAUUUAAAAUGAUAGAAUCUCAAAACAUUAUUCCUGACUAUGCAAAUAAUUGUCAUCAGAGGAAAUUUUUAGGAAAAGUAAGAACUUGUAAAAAAAAAUUACUUUUUGGGAAAACUCAUUCCAGGAGGAAGGCCAUCAUUUCCCAAUUGUACUCUCAGAUUACACGGUGAAGAAUAAGGCAUCAGGCAAUAGUGAGAAUUGCAUGAAUGACUAGGGCCUAAAGAAGAAUUUGCAGGUGUCUGCACUCCUCAUGGCAGCCUGGCCCACACUUUGUUUAACGUUGACAUGCUCAUGAAACCAUGCAACCCAUCAUUGACACUGCACUGGGCAGUGGGUAAACAGGGACACUAGCUAUUCCUUGGUUGGGAGAGUGCUGCACAGCUCUAGCCACUGCAUGGCUUCUUUACAGCAAGGAAACAAAAUGAAGAGAGCCCACAUAAUGUUAAAGAAAUAAUUGCAAACCAUAUAUCU